rnacentral:tRNA from 1 species
GCGUUUGUGGUUUAGUGGUAAAAUCCAUCCUUGCCACUGAUCAAUCAAGUGAUCAGUCAACAUGGAUGGGCCCCGGGUUCGAUUCCCGGCGAACGCA